CCCCCGGGCCCACGCUCCUCUCCUCCUCCUCCCGCUGUCGCACUCCCUUUCAGCCCCCCGCACCUCACUCUCUGCCCUCCGGCUGGCUGCCGCGCCUGCCCUCUCCCCGCCACGGGGCUGCGGGGACCCCGCUCCUCCCGGCCCUGCCCCGGCCGCUCGCUCCCCGUUCCGCCGCCUCCUCACCUGCGCUGUCUCCUGCCGGCGGCCGCCGGCUCCCCUCGCUAGGCCCUCGCUGGGGCCGGGGCCGGGGCCUCGGCCUCGCCCCGCAGGCCGGGCCGUUCUCCCCCUUCCCCCCUGUGCGAGCGGGCCUUCCCCGCCAUCUCUGCCCGCUCCCGGGGCGCUCCCGCCCCGCUCCCUCCCCAAUUACCUGGGGUAUCCCGCCCAUGUUGCGCAGCUGCUGCUCUGCCCUCCCGCCAUCAGAGGGGCGCCAUGCCGCAGCCCGGCUGUCGCGCAGCGGUGCCUUCUCACUGGCAUCGCCUCUAAUCCCAUUAGCGCCUAGAAUAGCCCCAUGUUAUUUUAAUCAUCUUUUCCCUCUCUCUCCCCCGCCUCCCGGCUAACAAUGUCGGUGUUGUGGGUUAGCGCUAACAGAGCUGCGGAGGCAAACGCCUCGUCACCUGCUGGAGCGGCCCUGUGGAGGCGAUGAGGGUGAGGUGAGAAUGAAGAAAGAAAAAGAAAGGGAUCAUACCUGUCAAAGGCAACAAAGUUCCUUAGAAUCUACCAUUAUGUCAGAUGCAGUGACUCCAGGGGUUAUUUUCUCCCUCCUCAAAAGUUCCAAACUGAGAUGAGCAGCUUCCUGUCAAAUAAGCCAAUGCUACUGGAUGAAUUGACCUUGACAUGACUGCUGUGAUACCAAAAGCCACAAGCUAACUGGUAACAAUUACUAGGUAUGUCAACCCUAGUUUUUAUUGCUGAUGCAUGUCAUAAAAAUAUCAGGUGGUAGAGAAGGACAACAGUGCAGUCCCUUGGUUCAUUUGAACCUCAGUAAACAUUUGGGAGCAGAUAUAAUGUGAAUAAAACCUUUUCCAUAUGCAUAUUACCUGCUGUAUUAGCUCCCAAUUUACAAAACAUGUUUGCACUAAAAAUACAUGCACGAUUAGGGAUGGCACCCACACAGCAAUAAUAUCAGCAGUGGCGUGGUCAUGCCAAGUAGCAGAUGUUUGGAGGAAGCCGGUCAAGGUUUUGUCUCAGUAAUUGCUGGCAAGAAGUGGCUGUUCCUGCUUCUCUUGAUCCUUGAUUGCAGUGGCUCAAUCCAUCCCCUCUUGCAAAAUACC